ensembl:snRNA U6 U6 spliceosomal RNA
CUGCUCACUACGGCAGCACAUAUACUGAAAUUGGAAUGAUACAGAGAAGAUUAGCAUGGCCCCUGCGCAAGGAUGACACGCAAAUUUGUCUAAAGUGCAGCUGCUGAAAAUUUUU